UACGUAGGGGGCAAGCGUUGUCCGGAAUCAUUGGGAGUAAAGCGCGCGUAGGCGGCCCGGUAAGUCCGUUGUAAAAGUCAAAGGCUCAACCUUUGAAAGCCGAUGGAUACUGCCGGGCUAGAAUCCGGAAGAGGCGAGUGGAAUUCCUGGUGUAGCGGUGGAAUGCGCAGAUAUCAGGAGGAACACCAAUAGCGAAGGCAGCUCGCUGGGACGGUAUUGACGCUAAGGCGCGAAAGCGUGGGGAGCAAACAGG
rnacentral:rRNA from 1 species